AUUGAACGCUGGCGGCAUGCCUAACACAUGCAAGUCGAACGAGUGGCGGACGGGUGAGUCAUGUCUGGGACACUGCCCGGUGGAGGGCGAUCACUACUGGAAACGGUAGCUAAUACCGCAUUCCCUCGCAUAUGUCCACAGGGGCUUAGCGAGUUGGAGGGGGAGCGGCUCACCAAGGCGACGACCCCUAGCUGGUCUGAGAGGAUGACCGGCCACACUGGAACGGAGACACGGGCCAGACUCCUACGGGAGGCAGCAGUGGGGAAUAUUGCACAAUGGGCGCAACCCUGAUGCAGCCAUGUCGCGUGUACGAAGAAGGCCUUCGGGUUGUAAAGUACUUUCGGCGGGGAGGCGGUACCCGCAGAAUAAGCACCGGCUAACUCCGUGCCAGCAGCCGCGGUAAUAC
rnacentral:rRNA from 1 species